rnacentral:sRNA from 1 species
AUAGACUAAUUACAGAAGCUGAACAAGAACAUUUGAGCCAAGAAGAGGUUGCAAGCAGUUUGAGAAAGACUGAAAGAAUUUUGGAGGAAGAAGCAAUCAAGCGACGUCACUUAGAGCGCCAGUUGUCAGACAUGAGUCAAGAAGAAAGUAGUGCAGAUGGCAUACAGCAUGGAGCACGUAGCCUGAGCCACACAGCUUCUACUGACAAUGGUUAUGGCUCAUGGCCAAGUAAAUUGGUCACUGUUCUCAGCACAAGCUCAGAGGGACCUGAUCUGGAGUUAGAUUUCUUCCCCAAAAGAGGUAAAUCACUGGACCCCCAGAAGGAUCUGUAUUGACAGACUUUUAAGUUUGACUUGGACAAACAGAAUGUUCUGUAACAGAAAAGACUACUUCUUUGGCCUUUAACUAUGUAUAUAGAAGAAUAAUCUUUUUUUGUACAGAUUAUAUGCCUGUGCCAUAUUAAGUCUCUUUAAGCUUUAACAAUAUCUGUUUUAACUUGAUCAGCAUAAGAGAUAAUGUAAAUAAAUUUAUUUGUAAAAACAAAAUUCUGAGAAGUGGGUGUUACAUGGAGAUGUUGUUAUAAAAAGGGAGCUUAUCUAUUAUAUAAGAGCAUGUAUCCACCCAGUAGUUACCACCCACUUCUAAUGAAUCACAAAAGUGUUUGUAUCUGUUAGAUCUAUGAGAUGAAUGUCUCUUAAUGUUGCUUUCAUUGUUUAUUACAGAUGAUAAUUAUUUGCACAUUAUUCAAAUUGUUUAUAUAUUGUUCAUAUAGACUUAAGUUUGAGCUGGUCUCAAAAUAAGGAAAUUUAGCAAAACUGCAUUGCUACAACACUUUUACCCUAAAUAAUAAUUCAUAUGCAUUACUGUAUUUGAAUUCGGUAUAGUAAUAUUUCAGCAUUACAUAUUUUGGAUGGUUCUGAUGUUGUUAUAUUAGUUUAUGUUUAUGGUAAACAAAAAAUAUUAAUUUAUACUCAGCACUUUUGUCUUAAUGUUAAUGUUAAUGUAUGAUAAAUAUUCUUUGGGCUGUGGAUGUAACUUGAAAAACUCUUUUUAGAAUUUUCAAUGAUUUUCAGCAUGAUUUUCUGUAGCAUUGAAUAAUUCUUUUAUCAAAAAUUGUAUAUAUUUAUUGUCUUCAUUAUAUUAUAAAUAUUUUGUAUACAUGAUGAGGAGGUGAACAUAGUCAUGACUAAGUCAGAUAGUCUUAUGUAAGAGAAAGGAUUGAUGUGAUUUUGAGUUCUUGUUUGAAUUAUGUUGGAGAAUAUAACUUUACUUGUAUUUGUAUUAGUAAGUUUCUCAGCAUUAAAUCUUUGUUAAGAAUAAUUUCAAGUUUGAAUGCAGAUACUUAAAAAAGAAAUCAGCUAGGCUUAUUUCAUUUUUUUUUUAAAACAAAAGCACUGCCAUGUCCAAGCCUAAUUUGAGAUAGCAAAGCUUUCUUCACUUAAUACUUUGAUACUGCAGAUUUGUUUAUCUGAUUUAAGUUACUCUGAGGACACUUUUAUCAAUCUAUUCUCUUUUUCAAAAUGUUUCUAUUUGUUAUCAUUAAACAUAUUUAAAGUAUUUUGUGAAAAGUUGUUUU